GGGCCCGCACAAGCGGUGGAGCAUGUGGUUUAAUUCGACGCAACGCGAAGAACCUUACCUACUCUUGACAUCCAGAGAACUUUCCAGAGAUGGAUUGGUGCCUUCGGGAACUCUGAGACAGGUGCUGCAUGGCUGUCGUCAGCUCGUGUCGUGAGAUGUUGGGUUAAGUCCCGUAACGAGCGCAACCCUUGUCCUUAGUUGCCAGCGCGUAAUGGCGGGAACUCUAAGGAGACUGCCGGUGACAAACCGGAGGAAGGCGGGGACGACGUCAAGUCAUCAUGGCCCUUACGAGUAGGGCUACACACGUGCUACAAUGGCCGGUACAAAGGGUUGCUAUCCCGCGAGGGGGCGCCAAUCUCAAAAAACCGGUCGUAGUCCGGAUCGGAGUCUGCAACUCGACUCCGUGAAGUCGGAAUCGCUAGUAAUCGCGAAUCAGAAUGUCGCGGUGAAUACGUUCCCGGGCCUU
rnacentral:rRNA from 1 species